rnacentral:lncRNA from 1 species
AAUACCUUCAUUUGUUCAUCACCACACGGAGCAUCUGGUGCUGUACUUCUCAUAAUCUCACAAAUACAUGAUGCAAUAGAAACUUUAACAUCCACAUUUAAAUUAUUCAAAAGACCGCAAUGCCUUCUGCACAUAAUCGGGUGGUGACUGAUAAAUACUUCUUGAGUUUCUAAAUUUAUAAAAAAGAAAAAAAAAAUGAGACAAAAAUGUAUUCACAUCUCUAAUCAAAAGGGUAAUAAACAAAGAUCAAAAGCUUGACUCCAGUAUGAAGAUAAGAGUAAGAAUAUAUACAAAAUAAUGAAUUAAAGGAUUGAGUUUACAAUUACACCAAGCAAAAGUAGAAGUUGAUAAACAGAAGAUGGAUCUGGACGUGAAAGAAGUGCAUUUCCAGCUGCUUCAACAUUGUCUGCAAGCUCUUCCUCCUUUUUUACCUCCAUUGUCAUCCCCCUCAAUUUCUAAUCAAUACCCUAAACCCUUAUUAUCAAGCAACAACUUAUUCUUUUCUUGCUCAAUAAAUAAACUAAAAGAAGUCCAUAUUCCACAUUGAGUUUAAAAGCUUCCAAAAUAUCUCUUCUCUCUUUCAGUGCACAAUCAAUUUUCUAGGAAGCCAAACAAACAGACAUAUAAAUACCCACAUAUAGAAACUCAAUUUUCUAAUUUAUAAAAAAAAAUCUAAGAGAAAAAUUAGAGAAAGAUUUAAGGAUAUAAUUAAGUAUACCAGUAAUUUCCUUCAAAAAAAAUUAAAAGGAUGCUCGGAUCCCGCCUGGUAUAAUUAAAAGAGUUAAAUAACAUCAUUGAAAUCCGUAAAAGGGUAUUAUUGUUCCCCAGGCCUUACUAACCUAAGUACUUAACGUGUACUCGCGAUAGAUCGUAUCUGAGAUAAGACACGUACAAUGUCGAAAUACAGCAGCAGCAGCAGUAGCAGAGCAGUCAAAAGAAGAAGCAGUCUAUUCGGUUCCUGUGUACUCAUAAAUGCAGUACAGAACUUCACAAGCACAUAUUCAACUCAACUUUGUCUUGUUACGUUCCCAAUACAGGUCCCGUCGGGUUCAACUCGUAGUCCAAACUAGGCCUACCGUUUGGGAGCUGGGAUUACUGCCUUGUGAAUACCUUCAUUUGUUCAUCACCACACGGAGCAUCUGGUGCUGUACUUCUCAUAAUCUCACAAAUACAUGAUGCAACAGAAACUUUAACAUCCACAUUUAAAUUAUUCAAAAGAACGCAAUGCCUUCUGCACAUAAUCGGGUGGUGACUGAUAAAUACUUCUUGAGUUUCUAAAUUUAUAAAAAAGAAAAAAAAAAAUGAGACAAAAAUGUAUUCACAUCUCUAAUCAAAAGGAUAAUAAACAAAGAUCAAAAGCUUGACUCCAGUAUGAAGAUAAGAGUAAGAAUAUAUACAAAAUAAUGAAUUAAAGGAUUGAGUUUACAAUUACACCAAGCAAAAGUAGAAGUUGAUAAACAGAAGAUGGAUCUGGACGUGAAAGAAGUGCAUUUCCAGCUUCUUCAACAUUGUCUGCAAGCUCUUCCUCCUUUUUUACCUCCAUUGUCAUCCCCCUCAAUUUCUAAUCAAUACCCUAAACCCUUAUUAUCAAGCAACAACUUAUUCUUUUCUUGCUCAAUAAAUAAACUAAAAGAAGUCCAUAUUCCACAUUGAGUUUAAAAGCUUCCAAAAUAUUUCUUCUCUCUUUCACUGCACAAUCAAUUUUCUAGGAAGCCAAACAAACAGACAUAUAAAUACCCACAUAUAAAUACCCACAUAUAGAAACUCAAUUUUCUAAUUUACAAAAAAAAAUCUAAGAGAAAAAAUUAGAGAAAGAUUUAAGGAUAUAAUUAAGUAUACCAGUAAUUUCCUUCAAAAAAAAUUAAAGAAAGAUUUAAGGAUAUAAUUAAGUAUACCGUUUGGGAGCUGGGAUUACUGCCUUGUGUGCAUAUAAUAAGCUGGUACUGCCUGGAGAAGAACAUUUAUGUCCAGACCCAAAUGGACAAAUCAAACGAGCCCACCUUCGAUCAGAAAUUAGGGCUUGAAACAUGAUUCAGGUUUGUGACGAGAAUCGCAGGAUUCAUUGUGGGUUUCACAGCCGAGUGAAAGGAAAAGAAUGGAGGGAAAAGAACGAUUCAGAUGCUCUUAUGAGAAUGGACCCUUAGUAUUACGCAUGAACGGUAAAAGAAAUUUCUAAUUAGCUACAUUUUUCUCUUCCUCAAAAUUCAAAUGCUUAAGAAUAAAUACCCAAACAAACAGACAUAUAAAUACCCACAUAUAGAAACUCAAUUUUCUAAUUUACAAAAAAAAAUCUAAGAGAAAAAAUUAGAGAAAGAUUUUAGGAUAUAAUUAAGUAUACCAGUAAUUUCCUUCAAAAAAAAAUUAAAGAAAGAUUGAAGGAUAUAAUUAAGUAUACCGUUUGGGAGCUGGGAUUACUGCCUUGUGUGCAUAUAAUAAGCUGGUACUGCCUGGAGAAGAACAUUUAUGUCCAGACCCAAAUGGACAAAUCAAACGAGCCCACCUUCGAUCAGAAAUUAGGGCUUGAAACAUGAUUCAGGUUUGUGACGAGAAUCGCAGGAUUCAUUGUGGCUUUCACAGCUGAGUGAAAGGAAAAGAAUGGAGGGAAAAGAACGAUUCAGAUGCUCUUAUGAGAAUGAACCCUUAGUAUUACGCAUGAACGGUAAAAGAAAUUUCUAAUUAGCUACAUUUUUCUCUUCCUCAAAAUUCAAAUGCUUGAGAAUAAACCCAUUUUCCCGAUUUAAACAAGAAAGUACCAGCAAUCAAACUAAAACGGACCGACGAGGAACGGCUGAGACGACGGUGGCAGUGGACAUCUCGAUGGAGAAAGGAGAGGAGGGAUCGGGAGAAUGGUAGAGAGGAAAAGAACAUUUGGGAUUCUGUAAUGGGAAUGGACCCUUAAUAUUCCUCAUUAACGGAAAAAAAACUUCCUAAUUAGCUACAUUUUCCUCUUUCUCAAAUUCAAAGAAAAUCCUUAAUUUUUUUUUUACCGU